AAUAAUGAGAUGGGGCCUCUUCAGAUCUUAGGGGCAAUGGCCUACCCAUAACCUGCCUUCUUAGAAUCAUCUACCACAUGGGAAGGACAACUGUCAAUAGGGAACAACCUAUUCUGUCCAGGAAGGCUCUUCCUAUAACUGAAGAUCCCUUGCAUGAAAAGCCUCCAUAGACGGAAGAGGUUCUCCACCACUGAGGGUUGUGUUGUGCAUACAGUGUAUGAAAUAAAAGGGUGGGACUAGUGCAGUCAUCCCCACUCUGUAUAUAAAUAAAUGGUCUCAUUUUCUAAUCAAGCGUAUGUCAUUCUAGUAUGGAAAGCAUAAGUGAGGAUUUGCCUCUAACCUAUCUUCUCAAGCCUGGUGCCCAGAUGUGUGUCCUACAUCUCCCAGAAUUUCUAACCAGUGGCUCUUGAUCUUAUUAAACUAAGUAGUUAGCCAAAGGAGAAACAUGUUAAAUUCAACCAGAGGGUAACACAUUGAGUAUGGUGGAAUGCAAAUAAAAAUCUUUCUCGAAUCAAGUUCAUCAUGUCCAUGCACUUUUCUUGGCAGCAAUGAGCAAUCGAUGUGCCAUUGCCUUUUUAUUCUAAAUAAAUCUGCAUAGGAUUUUAGUAUGAAAUUAAACAACUGGAGUAUAAGUAGAUAAAUCAGUGGGAUUAUGUGUUCAAUAUACACUUGUUUGCUUUUGAAGUUCUGGUUUAAGCGGGUUGAUUUACAGGGAAAUUAAAAAGCAAACAACAUUUUUCCUGUGAAGAGAAGACUUUUCCAUGCAUUCAGUGGAAUUUGCGUAUCAAUUGAACAAGACUGGAUGCUUGCUCUGUUUUUGCCAAGUAAGCAUGCUUGGAGGAAUCUCUGUGCAUACAAAUCCCAUGCAUGGGUCCGACCUAGUUGCUGCAGCUCCUUCCCCCUUUCUAGCUAUUAUAUGAGUGAGCUGAAUAUGAAUCAGUCCCCUAUCAUUGCAGCUGUUCCUGAAUUUACAGGUAAGUGAAACUGAAGCACACUUGCUUCCGGCCUCAAGCUUGCAACUUGCAUCCUUGUUAGGGUCUAAAUGUUAACACAGGUCUUUUCCUGUGGCAAAUUCUCUCUCACACAGGGGCAGUUUACUUGGAAGGAAGUCUUGAAGAAGCCAAACAACUGUUUGGACGCCUACUCUUUAAUGACAAGGACCUGCGGGAAGUAUGGCUUAAUUAUCCACUACACCCUCUGCAACUGCAAGAAUCUAAUACUGACAGACAGUUGAUUGAGACGUCUCCUGUCCUCCAGAAAUUGACUGAGUUUGAGGAUGCUAUUGGAGUAAUUUUUACUCACGUUCGGCUCUUGGCACGGGCUUUCACUUUGAGAACAGUGGGAUUUAACCAUCUGACGCUGGGCCAUAAUCAGAGAAUGGAGUUCUUGGGUGAUUCCAUAAUGCAGUUGGUGGCCACCGAGUACUUAUUCAUACAUUUCCCUGAUCAUCAUGAAGGCCAC